rnacentral:rRNA from 1 species
UGCUGUGGAAACGCAACGCUUAACGUUGCGCGUGCAGUGGGUACGGGCUGACUAGAGUGCAGUAGGGGAGUCUGGAAUUCCUGGUGUAGCGGUGAAAUGCGCAGAUAUCAGGAGGAACACCGGUGGCGAAGGCGGGACUCUGGGCUGUAACUGACACUGAGGAGCGAAAGCAUGGGGAGCGAACAGGAUUAGAUACCCUGGUAGUCCAUGCCGUAAACGUUGGGCACUAGGUGUGGGGGACAUUCCACGUUCUCCGCGCCGUAGCUAACGCAUUAAGUGCCCCGCCUGGGGAGUACGGUCGCAAGGCUAAAACUCAAAGGAAUUGACGGGGGCCCGCACAAGCGGCGGAGCAUGCGGAUUAAUUCGAUGCAACGCGAAGAACCUUACCAAGGCUUGACAUACACUGGACCGUUCUGGAAACAGUUCUUCUCUUUGGAGCUGGUGUACAGGUGGUGCAUGGUUGUCGUCAGCUCGUGUCGUGAGAUGUUGGGUUAAGUCCCGCAACGAGCGCAACCCUCGUUCUAUGUUGCCAGCACGUGAUGGUGGGAACUCAUAGGAGACUGCCGGGGUCAACUCGGAGGAAGGUGGGGAUGACGUCAAAUCAUCAUGCCCUUUAUGUCUUGGGCUUCACGCAUGCUACAAUGGCUGGUACAGAGAGAGGCGAACCCGUGAGGGUAAGCGAAUCCCUUAAAGCCAGUCUCAGUUCGGAUCGUAGUCUGCAAU